rnacentral:rRNA from 1 species
GUCUACGGCCAUACCACCCUGAACCUGCCCGAUCUCAUCUGAUCUCGGAAGCUAAGCAGGGUCGGGUCUGGUUAGUACUUGGAUGGGAGACCUGAGCAGGAACCAGGAAAUGUCAAGGCU